rnacentral:misc_RNA from 1 species
AUCAAUGUGCUCCUGAAUACCAAAGCCAAAGCAUCCAGUAUCGCUAAAGUUCCUACGAAGCAACUCGUACUCCUUAACCUUCAACCCACUUUCCAAGAGCUGCAUCGCCUUGUCUCCUCUAACGGUGACAUAGCAAGCAAUCUUCUCAUUACGUCUGAUUCCGAACGAUCGUACAGUGUAUCUUGCUUUAGAGAACACAGGGCUCUGGCCGCUAAGUUGUUCGAGCACCUUAGCAGCUCUGGUGAGCCGAUCUCCACUCUCACCAACUGAGAUAUUGAGGACGAGUUUCUGCACCUUAAUAUCCCUCAUUGGGUUCGAUAACUUCUUCUCCGAAGCCAUUGGAGUGUUCUGGCGGGUGGCUGCGGCUUGAGUAGCAGCACCAACACCAGCAACACCCAAG